UCUAUGCUUGCGCCCGUGACCAUGCGGAGGAUCAUUACCGAGUGCGGGUCCCCUCGCGGGGCCCAACCUCCCAUUGUGUCUACCGUCACCUGUUGCUUCGGCGGGCCCGCCUUCGUGCCGCCGGGGGGCCCUCUGCGCCCCCGGGCCCGCGCCCGCCGAGGACUCUAGGAACACUGAAUGAAGGAUGCCGUCUGAGUCAACGACACAAUCGUUAAAACUUUCAACAACGGAUCUCUUGGUUCCGGCAUCGAUGAAGAACGCAGCGAAAUGCGAUAAGUAAUGUGAAUUGCAGAAUUCCGUGAAUCAUCGAAUCUUUGAACGCACAUUGCGCCCCCUGGUAUUCCGGGGGGCAUGCCUGUCCGAGCGUCAUUACUGCCCAUCAAGCCCGGCUUGUGUGUUGGGUCGACGUCCCCUCCCUCGCGGGGGGACGGACCCGAAAGGCAGUGGCGGUGCCGCGCCGGUGCUUCGAGCGUAUGGGGCUUUGUCACCCGCUCCGGAGGCCUGGCCGGCGCCCGUCGUCCCCACACUAUUUUUCUCGGUGGACCUCGGAUCAGGUAGGGAUACCCGCUGAACUUAAGCAUAUCAAUAAGCGGAGGA
rnacentral:rRNA from 1 species